GAAUGCACGCAUGGAAGAGGAUCAUCCUCUUGUUGGGCAACAGAGGAGACUGAGGCAAAGAGAAGAAACCUUUCUGAUGUGCUCCUCCUCACUGGACCUUUCUUAUCCAGCUUCCCUUCCAUGGCCCACACCCAGAGGCGGCAAUUGGCUGGCUGUGCACAAGGAUGAAAAUGGAUUAGAACCAGGGUAUGCACUGACCCAGGGACCAUGCGUCCAAAUGCUGUGGGAGUAAUGGGAGAUGCUGGCCAGCUGAGUGAUUGAAGCCACAGCUGCACAAGGGCAGAAGCCAUGCCGAGUUGCUAACAGCCAUGUGCUUCCUGUGCCUGACUGAACACAGAAGCUGCCCAAAAAAAUGACAGCUGCACGGAAGGACGGUACAAGCUGCCACAGGCUGAUGUACUCAGGUGGGGCUCCACGGGAGACUUCCUGGAAGAGGGGGCCUGGAGCUGAUGCUGAAGCACCACCUCUCCCAAAUCUCACAGGGCUCUCCUAGUCCUCCGUGGGUUCACAGCCGCCCCACCCAGCAGCCGGGUGGGGACUCUCACAUAUGUUCGCGCGCUUGGACACUGAUACCCGGAGAAGGGAAGAGGCAAGCCCAAGGGAGUCCACAGAAGAGCUGGAACCAGAACUGGGCUGUGUUUGACUGAGAGGAGAUGGCUGUGAGUGACACGGGGAGGGACUUCCGCCCUCGCUGCCCUACAACAACCCUUCAGAGAGCAGCGGUGCCUGGGCCUGGAAGUGUGAGUUUCCACUCUGAACAGAUGGUUGCAAUUACCAAGUGCAGGACGGGCAGGCGAGGAGCACACUCCCAUAGAGGGAGGGGAGCAGAGUGCUGCAGAAACAUCCCGAGCACAGGCCAGCUGGACCGUGACUCCUCCAGCACUGCAACUUCAAACAUGAAACUGCCUUCUUUUUGCUACUUCUCUCCACCACCUGGACAUAUGGUUCUGACAAUUUCAUACAAUUUUUAAAGACAAGAAAAAAGUUCUCUUUUCCUUGGAAA